UACAGAGGUCUCAAGCGUUGUUCGGAUUCAUUGGGCGUAAAGGGUGCGUAGGCGGCGGGGCAAGUCAGGUGUGAAAUCCCGGAGCUCAACUCCGGAACUGCAUUUGAUACUGCCUCGCUAGAGUACUGGAGAGGAGACUGGAAUUUACGGUGUAGCAGUGAAAUGCGUAGAGAUCGUAAGGAAGACCAGUGGCGAAGGCGAGUCUCUGGACAGUUACUGACGCUGAGGCACGAAGGCCAGGGGAGCAAACGGG
rnacentral:rRNA from 1 species